GUGUCAGCCGCCGCGGUAAUACGGAGGGUGCGAGCGUUAAUCGGAAUUACUGGGCGUAAAGGGCGCGUAGGCGGUCGCGCAAGUCGGGUGUGAAAGCCCCGGGCUCAACCUGGGAAUUGCAUUCGAUACUGCGUAACUAGAGUCUGGUAGAGGGAAGCGGAAUUCCGCAUGUAGCGGUGAAAUGCGUAGAUAUGCGGAGGAACACCAGUGGCGAAGGCGGCUUCCUGGACCAAGACUGACGCUGAGGCGCGAAAGCGUGGGGAGCAAACAGGAUUAGAUACCCUGGUGGUCCACGCCCUAAACGAUGAGGACUAGACGUUGGGGGGAUAAAACCCUUUAGUGUCGCAGCUAACGCGUGAAGUCCUCCGCCUGGGGAGUACGGCCGCAAGGUUGAAACUUAAAUGAAUUGACGG
rnacentral:rRNA from 1 species